rnacentral:lncRNA from 1 species
CUGCAAAAAAGGAAGUCCACACUGACCGGAGGCGGCUCCGGCGGGGACCCUCCGACGGUCAAGUCAGAGAGGUGACUGGACAACAGUGAAAUGAAGACAGAGAGCUCAAACGAGAGAGAGAAAGAGAGAGAGGGGGAGCAAGCCUGUAGUUUCGAAGUCCCUCUGCACUGUUGCCUUCCCCGAUAUUUAUAGUGAGGCGCGGCAUGGCGCCGUCAUUAAUGGCGCAGAUAAUUGAGGAAUUGUCAACUCACUGUAGAUUGUCAGAGUCGCCGUGAAAGCGUCAUAUCGCCGCGGGACUGUCAAAUCACUAGGGUUGACAAUGUCCUAGGCGGGAUAAUGCCCUUGGGUGGCAGUGCCGCAUAUUGCUGUCAGGACUGACAGGCUCCGGCGGCUGUACGGCGAUCGGAGGAGUCGACCGAUCCUAGGUCGGUGGCCAUCUGUGUGGCGUCGGGUGGAGAUUCGGACCCCUUUGACGGUCAGCCGGGCAUGUUGCGAGAGUCGGCCAUCAGACUCUCUGUUUCAGUCGGCCCGGAGAGUGGAAACCCGACCGACAUAUCCACGGACGGAAGAGGGCCGUUAAUCGACCGGUCAGUCGGUCGGUCCCUCCGGCAGUCGGUCGGUCGGCCGGUCCCUCCGCCAGUCGGUCGGUCGGACGGUCCCUCCACCAGUCGGUCGGUCGGUCCCUCCGUUAGUCGGUCGGUCGGUCGG